GACUGUCGGCCACAGCUCCAGGAAAUAAUAAGCUUACAAAGGAAGACAGAGUGUACUGUGACUGCAGUUACCCUAGCAGUCCGUAUUUUUAGCUUAAUGUUUUAUUGCUCUAUAAAGUGGUACACCAGGGCAGGCUAGGCUCGGAUAAUUAAUUAUGUAUAAGCAGUAACAAAGUUCGACUAUGCUGUAUAAUUUUGAUCUACGUAUUCUUCACAGUACGCCUUGCUCAUCCCCUCUGCACUCUUCCACCUGGCAGCUGAGUUGCAAACUGAAAGUGACGUUGAUGCUGCCUGCCUUUUUUCCAUCCCAUCGCCGUGCAAGGAUGGAUACUGGACGAAGUUCUUCAAUUCACUCUGCCAUUCAACAGAGACGUAAAUGGCUGAAGAUAGAAGACAGAAGACGAUAGUUUUUACAUCCAGCCCAAGAGGAUUUGACUAUUCCAUUGAGCAGGCUCGGGUCAGCUAAGUCCUUCUCUUCAAAGCAUCAUGGGUGUCUCUGAGCAUCAUUGCAAGCUAGUCCUGGCAGUAAGCCAGGCUUCAAAAGCCUUUCACCACAGCUACUGACUCACUAAUGGGCAGCUGCAGGCUUUCUGAUUCUCCUUUCGUUUCAUGUGUUCAUUUGACAUAAAUUUAAUUAAACCAAAUCUGGUGUUAAAGCAAGAUGAGAUAAAAGUGAUAUGUUUCAAAUUAAAGAACUGUGAACGAUACAGGAAAUGGAACUAUGCCUUUUUAAAAAAAAAUCUGUUUCUGUAAAAUAAUGUCAAUUUCUGUAAGCUUACUACUUAAAAUUGACAAAAAAGAUUUUUUUAAAAGGUAUGAAUUAUUAAGAAUAAUGUGUAACCAGGGUUUGAUGAAGGUCUUGGCCCCAUAUUCUCUGUAGUCAAACCCUUCAUUGAAUUCUUACUUUUCUUUCAUUCUUACAUGUCAGGUAGGUACCAAUUCACAGGGUAUAACCAAGUGUGUCCCUGCACUGGCUAUAUAGGGUAUAUUUGCUGGACAGCUCCUAAUCACUGAAUAGCAGG